AAUCAACGCUGGCGGCGUGCCUAACACAUGCAAGUCGGACGUGAAAGGGGUUUCGGCCCUGAGUAGCGUGGCGGACGGGUGAGGAACGCGUGGGUGACCUGCCCUGCAGAGGGGGAUAACCCUCCGAAAGGGGGGCUAAUACCGCAUGAGCCCGAGAGGGGAAAGACGGUGAGUCGCUGCGGGAGGGGCCUGCGUCCGAUUAGCUGGUUGGUGGGGUAAGAGCCCACCAAGGCGACGAUCGGUAGCCGGUCUGAGAGGACGGACGGCCACACUGGGACUGAGAUACGGCCCAGACUCCUACGGGAGGCAGCAGUGGGGAAUUUUGGGCAAUGGGCGAAAGCCUGACCCAGCAACGCCGCGUGGAGGAAGAAGGCCUUCGGGUCGUAAACCUCUGUCAUUGGGGACGAAGGAAGUGACGGUACCCAAGGAGGAAGCCCCUGCUAACUACGUG
rnacentral:rRNA from 1 species